AAAGAAACAAAAAAAAAGUUUGCAAACAGGAAAUUAAAAAUGGUCUCUGAUGUAAGUUUAAAUAAAGAUUCAAAUUAAAUCAAAAAUAUUUUAUUUUCCAGUCCAAAACAACAAGUUCCCAACGUUUACAGAUGAUUCAGUUCAUGAAUUCACAAUUGCGGUCGACAUGCCCUGGAGCUGGUCUCAUCUUUAGGAUGAUGUUCCUAGCUGCUGAUAACCAUGCUAAAGCUCUGUCACGACUUCAGCCAUGUGAGACGUGCAUGAGGCUCUUUACAGGAUCAUAUAUACAACUGUGCUUAAUUACAGUAAAACUGAACAAAACAGAAUUGUUGUAUAUCAUGAAGUCUUUAUGUCAAUUACACAGUUUAACUGAUUACAUAUAUAGUUAAAUACUUAUGUGGUCCAACACACAAAUUGGGGGGUACAACAAACAAACUAGGAGACUGUGUCGCUUCCCUUGUUUAAUAGUUUGCUGUCGCAUUUCACUCAUUGGCUAACAAGACUGAAAUGCUAUUCGCUUAGCAAGCAUCAUCCUGGGGUGUUUCUGACAGGGAAGCUCACAUAAACAUUACCAGGUACCAACGUGAUGCAUUAAUUUAACUUGACAUCACAAGUCCAGGGCGCUCGUGUUGUGCCAAAGUUAUGGUCUGCCAAAAACAGAUGUCCAGUAUUUGCCAAAAAGAGAUGUUUAUGUAAGUAAAUGUUUUUGUUUUUGGUAACAGUGAAACAGUUUAUUUGCAGCGUGGGAUUGUUUGUGUUCGGAGUACGAACCGAGAUUCCUGAGGAUUUUGUCACACUGGUCACAGAUGUAGCUCUUGGUGUUACGAUGAGCUGAAUGUGAGAAGCUUCUGUCAUAGUGUCUACAGUUGUAUGGUUUCUCUCCUGUGUGGAUUCCUUCAUGUCUCUUAAGCUGGCUAAUAGUGGUGAAGGAUGACCCACACUGGUCACAGACGUGCUUUUUAACCCCACUGUGACAGAGUUCAUGUUUUUUUUUAUUCACUCGGUGUGGUGAAGCCUCUCUCACAUUCUUUGCAGUAAUCCAAAUCCAAAUCCAGUUUAUUUACAUAGCACGUUUAAAAACAAAAAGUUUGCCCAAAGUGCUGUACAGAACACAGGGUAAAACACAAGAUACAACCACUGACACUCACAUAAAACAUAAUAAAACACAUAAAACUAUAUCAACUCAAGCCAGUCUGAACGCUAUCGAAAAAAGGUGUGUUUUCAAAAGCAUUUUAAAAACAGGAAACAAAGAUGCCUGUCUAAUAUUUAAAGGCAGCGUAUUCCAAAGUUUUGGGGCCAUAACUGAAAAGGCUUGUUCUCCUCUACUUUAAGCCUUGAUUUUGGGACAACCAACAGCAGCUGGUCAGCUGAUCUGAGGGUCCGUGAAGGAAUAUAAGGCUGAAGUAACUCGGAAAGGAUUGGGGAGCAAGACCAUUAAGGCAUUUAUAAACCAGUGUUAGGACUUUGAAAUUAAUUCUGUGAUGAACAGGAAGCCAAUGAAGAGAAGACAGGAUAGGUGUUACAUGUUCAUAGCUGUGGGUACCAGUUAAGAGGCGGGCAGCAGCAUUUUGAAUGAGCUGAAGACGAGCAAGCGAUCACUGCUUGACUCCAAAAAAACAGUGCAUUACAGUAGUCAAGCCGUGUUGAAAUAAAGGCAUGUAUUACCUUCUCCAUGUCACGUCUUGACAAAACUGGCUUCAGCUUAGCUAUUUGCCUCAGGUGGAAAAAGCUUUUUUGCAACACCAAACUAAUAUGUUUGUCCAAUUUAAAAUCUGAGUCCAUAAUGACUCCCAAGUUUGUCACAUGCUGCUUGAUAUAAGACCCUAGCAAACCACAAUUUACAAGCGGGCUGCAUGAAAUAUUAUUAGGUCUAAAUACAAUCACCUUCGUUUUACUCUCAUUGAAACUCUAAACGUUCAGAGCCAUCCAAGCUUUGACAUCUUCAAGGCAGUUCAAAAGGAUUUGGAUGGAGCCUGGGCCAUUUGGUGCUGAAGGCAAAUAAAUUUAGCAGUCGUCUGCAUAGCAGUGAAAGGAUAUUUCGUGUUUUCUAAAAAUAGACCCCAAAGGGAGCAGGUAUAAUGAAAAAAAGAAGAGGGCCAAGGAUUGAGCCCUGGGGCACCCCACAAGGAAGGGGGGCUGAGGUGGACUCAAAAUUUUCAACUUUAACGGUAAACAUUCUGCCACUAAAAUAUGAGCGAAGCCAAUUCAGUGCUGCACCUUUAAUGUCAACCAGGUGUUCGAAACGAGAGAUAAGAAUAUCGUGGUCAACAGUGUCAAACGCUGCAGUAAGAUCUAACAGCACAAGGAUCACAGAACUUCCACAAUCAGUAGCUAAAAAGAUAUCGUUAAAAACACGUAAAAGUGCUGUUUCAGUGGAGUGUAGAUGUUUAAAACCGGACUGAAAAAGUUCUAUGAUGCCAUUAGCAUCAAGAAACGUAUUAAGUUGGGUAAAAACUAUUUUUCCAAUAACUUUGAAAGGAAUGGAAGUCUUAAAAUAGGUCUAAAAUUUGAGCAAACUAAAGGGUCAAGGCCAUUUUUUUUUAAAAUAAAGGGCUAACAACUGCAUGUUCAUUUUAUCUCCAGUGUGUCUACACUAGUGAUGGGUCGGUCGCGAACGAAAUGGCUCUUAGAGCCGGAUCUUUGAAGUGAACGACGCGAGCAGGCUCCUUAUCGCGAGCCGUGGGUUUUUUUUUUUCCCCCUUUCUCUCACCCUCUCUCUCUCUCUCUCUCUCUCGCACUUUUUUUUCCGCUUCACUCCGCACGCGAGCCUUGUGCUUUGCGCUGGGCAGUGGGGGGGGAGGGGCGGUAGUUACACUGGCAGUAGCACAGGAACAGAGCGGGAGGGAGGGAGAGAGAAAGAGAGCCAGGGACAACAACGUCACAUUAGAAAGUUCUGUGCUCAUAAAGAGCUGAAGCUCCCCCAGGUAAUUAAAGGUCACGAGCUUCGUUCGGCGAUAGGUCCGGACAAUCCAUUGGAGGAGAUGCUGGGAGCUUAAGAAAGAUCGCACACAUGCUUACAAAACACAUAUAUAUCACAUAACCUAGAAACAGACCUGAAUAGAGGCCUGAAUGUGUUCAGCAAACAUGUUCCAUUUGAGUCUGCCUAGUAACAGAUGACGAGAAGGAGAGAACCAGCCCAUGGGGACCCAGAGGCCUGAGACCAUCGCCUUAUUUGGAAGAAGAUACCAGAAAGAGGAACUCUUGUGUCUGCAUUAUUUCUAAAAAUUGAUCAAUGUUCUUAAGAUGCAAAUUAUGUGCUUGUAAACGCAUGAGGGGGCGUCAUAAUACCCUGACAUUAUAAAAGCAAAUUGAAAUGUAUUUUUGGUGGAGACCCAUGCUGAUGUGUGCAGUAAUAUCUCCCCGCGCGUGUGUUCAAAAUAAAUAAUUGCUUUGACCCAACCCUUG
ensembl:lncRNA